AAGUCGAGCGAUCGAACCGGACUGCCCACCCUUCGGGGUGCAAUGGCCGGUCACGGAGCGGCGGACUGGUGAGUAGCACGUGGCUAACCUACCCUCUUGACGGAGAUAACCAUUCGAAAGGAUGGCUAAUACCCGAUGUUGUGCGAGAUCGAUAGUUCUUUCACCAAAGGCGGUCCUGCCGCCGCAAGAGGAGGGGGCUGCGCCCUAUUAGCUUGUUGGUGGGGUAAUGGCCUACCAAGGCAGUGAUGGGUAGCUGGUCUGAGAGGACGACCAGCCACAUUGGGACUGAGAUACGGCCCAGACUCCUACGGGAGGCAGCAGUGGGGAAUAUUGGACAAUGGAGGAAACUCUGAUCCAGCGACACCGCGUGGGGGAUGAAGGCUUUCGGGUCGUAAACCCCUUUUCUGGGGGAAGAAUAAGGUUGGGAGGAAAUGCCCAUCCGAUGACGGUACACCAGGAAUAAGCAUCGGCAAACUCCGUGCCAGCAGCCGCGGUAAGACGGAGGAUGCAAGCGUUAUCCGGAAUUACUGGGCGUAAAGGACGUCUAGGCGGUUGGGUAAGUCACUUGUGAAAGCCCUCGGCUCAACCGAGGAAAGUCUCGUGAUACUGCCCGGCUUGGGUGUAGGAGAGGGAAGUGGAACUCACAGAGUAGCGGUGGAAUGCGUAGAUACUGUGAGGUACCCCGAUGGCGAAGGCAACUUCCUGGCCUACUACCGACGCUGAAGCGUGAAAGCGUGGGGAGCAAAGGGGAUUAGAUACCCCCGUAGUCCACGCCCCAAACGAUGUUCACUUGGUGUCGGCCGCAAAUGUAGGUCGGUGCCGGAGCUAACGCGUUAAGUGAACCGCCUGAGGAGUACGGCCGCAACGCUAAAACUCAAGAGAAUUGACGGGUCCCCGCACAAGCGGUGGAGCACGUGGUUUAAUUCGAUGUAAGCGAAGAACCUCACCCAGGCUUGACAUACUAGUGGUAGGAACCGGAAACGGGGACGACCCUGCCUUCGGGUAGGGAGCUAGUACAGGUGAUGCAUGGCUGUCGUCAGCUCGUGUCGUGGGAUGUAGGGUUAAGUCCCGAAACGAGCGCAACCCUUGUCGUUAGUUGCCAGCGGGUAAUGCCGGGGACUCUAGCGAGACUGCUGGUGAAUAGCCGAGGAAGGCGGGGAUGACGUCAAGUCAUCAUGUCCCUUAUGCCUGGGGCGACAC
rnacentral:rRNA from 1 species